UCUUGGUCAUUUAGAGGAAAGUAAAAGUCGUAACAAGGUUUCCGUAGGUGAACCUGCGGAAGGAUCAUUAUCGUACAACGGAGGUGCGAGGGCUGUCGCUGUCCUUCAAAGGUCGUGCACGCCCGAGCCCUCUCACAAUCCAUCUCACCCUUUGUGCUCACCUCAUGGGUCCCCAUUAAAGGUAGGGACAAGGUUUUCGCAUAAGAACCUAUGCAAGGAUCAAUAUUAGGGGGCUUCGGUCCCAUCCAGAUAACACCCCUUGAACAAGAGAUCUUUUGGUUUCCUCGGCGGGAAGCCCGCCAACGGGGACCACACCAAACCGAUUUGUAGAAGCCAUAAAAUUAUAAAAUCAUAAUUUAAACCAAAACUUCCAACACAGGAUGUGGGGCACACCGCAUUGAGGAUGAAGAAAUCGAAAUGCGAUAAGUAGUGUGAUCCGCAGAAUUCAGAAAUCAUCGAAUGGAGAACGCACAUAAUGCCCUCUGGUAUUCUUUAGGGCAUGCUCCUCGAGCGUCAUUCAAACCGGUAAGCUCUGCUUUCCUUGGGCGCAUAUGACGCCUCGGGCGCGGGUCGCCUCUAAUGCAUGCUCCCAAUUUUUCAUCACAAAAACAACAGACUCGUUUCACCUCAUUUACGCACGGGCGUCCAUCAAGACCCACAACCAGACUUGACCUCUCUCUCUC
rnacentral:rRNA from 1 species